UAACAUAUGUUCAAAUUCUGUAUUUGAAUUACCUUUGUCUUUUUACUACAUUUCAUAGGCAUUUAUUUGCAAUCUGUUGAAAACACACAAAUCAUGAUCAAUCCUAGGACAAAGAUUGCAAGCAAACUAAAACAGUGGUUUCGUAACGAUCAAUUUGUCCGACACAAGACACUAUGGAUAAAUAAGACUUCUCUUCCGCUCAAUAGAUUACUAUGCAUCUCGAAUUCAAUGCGUUUAUCCAUUUCUGAGUUUCACAAAUACAACGGAGGAUGCAAGUGUAGGGUUGUUGGGAGAAUAGAUGAUAUUAAUAAAGUAAAUAGUUCGAAUUCCGUAUUCAUGCAUAUCAAAAUUAAGGAUAUAAGUGGGUCAUUAAGUGUUGGACUAUCUCACAAGCAAAUAUGUUUUAUAUUACAAAUGUCCACUCUUGAUCUACCAAAACGAACUGAAGAGGUAUGUAUGUUAAUAUUAUAAUCUUCUAUGAUACAACUACAACUUUGUAAUAUAAAUUUCGCAUUAUCGCUAAUGAUUGUUUUUUGUAGGUUAAAUACAUGGACAACAUACGGACCAAACUGUUCUCUCAUAUUGGAGAUGCAUAUGUUUUCGUACUUGAAGCGACAUUGCUAUGUUUUAAAUCUAAAGUUCAUAAAGUUGUGGAUGUUACACACGUUUACUGGGCGGAAGAGUGUGCUUAUCAAUUUACU